GAUCCCACAAGGGACACGGGGCCCCUGAGUGAUGUUCCAAGGGACGUGGCAGGGACCUACCCCGGAGCUCCGCCGCCUCGGCCCCCCGCAGCGAGUUUCGGGGAAGCGGCUGAUGGGCAGGGACUGGGGUGCAACCAUGCGUGAAAUCACCCCCUUCCCCCCACAGUGGGCCGACCCGCUGUCUCGCAAAGAGGACCCCCUCUAGCACCCUGGAAGUUCUCCUUCAGCACUACGUUCGGUCAUUCGAGUGGCUUCCUACAAACAAGAGAGGAAACUAGGAGAUCACAUGAGGAAAAGAAACCCAAAAAACCAAAGCCUAUUCCGUUGAAGAUUGAGUCACUGCUCCCGCUUAAUAACGUUCUAAACGGGAAUAGCUAACGUAUCUCUGAUCCCUUUGCUCUUUGCAGCGCUUAAACGCAGCCAUUGCCAAUAGUCGCGUAAGGGCUUUGAAGUUAUGGAAAUUGUCUUCGCAGGCAUUAGUCAGUGUUUUAAUAGGUCUCGUUCUGGCUCGGUCGCUGAAAGAUGUAAGCAAGCCAAAAAUUUAACACUCUUCUGGGGCUCUAAAAUGUUAGGUCCCUCCUCCGAGAGGGAUUUCGAUGUGAGGCCAAGCGCGAAGAGACGAAUGAGUGCAUAUGUUCAAAAUUACAUUUUCGACAGAAAUUCAUAUCUACCGGGUGGUGUUUAAAUGCAAAGUGCGACAGAAGUGGGGGCGGGGGGGCUCAGUAUGCAGGAAACAUCGCUGGGAAACUUGGAAUGUAACAGCCAGGAUCAAAAGUUAAUGGCCUAUUUGAUGUGAAAAGUGAGCUGGGGAUGCCGGAGAGCGGCAGCGAAAAGAGCCGGCCAGACGCUCGCAGGGCGUCCGCACAGCCGGGCCGCCCAAGCCCCACGCAAAUAGCUAAGCCAAAAACGCAGCGCAGGUAGGAGCGCUUCUCCGUCGGGUUAGCCUUUAAUCAGAUUUUCACGCGGCGCAGACAGCGGGGUUGCAUCUCUCGCUUUGUCCCACUCCCAGACCAGCUACGUGCCAGCAAAAGCCUGAGGUCCCCUGCGCUACUCUCUGUUCCCGUUCUUCCUUAUAUUCUUUUUUUUUCCCCCUCCAGUGGGAAUAUAUACACAUAGAUGUGCAGGAUUAUUUUCAGGUGGCCAAUGCUCAGGAUUUCAAACCAGUUAGCGAAGCGGCAUCACUAUCUCCGCAUUAGCUGGGCUUGCGUCACGGAUUACGUCAUCGGCUCAAAUCCCUGCACCCUCCCUGCCGUACCUACCCUGAAGGAGCAGUGAGAUCGGGGCGGCUCUGUACCCCUGGUCGGGAUGGAAGGCAGGCGCUUCUCCCCGCCAUGCUCUCGGCCGUCAGCAGUCGGGGACUUAACCCGCCAAGAAGAGAAGUGACAGCACACUCAAGUGUUUCGUAUCCUGUAGAUACUGUGUCCGCUGGCUGGUGAUGGAGAUACCUGCCAGAUUAACAAAUUCAGGUUUGGAUCCAAAACUAUCCUCCUGAAGGACACGGCGCAAGCAACUCGGGUGGCUCCUGGGCUGCCAUUCAUCUUUACUGCUUUAUAGAAACUAAGAGCGGUACGAAUUUUACCAGAAGCCCCGCAUUUUUUCCAUGCGUGCGCUGGUUUCUAUUGGACGCUGCUGCGUACAAACGAGAGAUAGAAAAGACGCUUUCUGUAUCGGCCUGUAAGAACGGUAUCAAAUUGUCAUUUGGGGCAGAGAUAAGGACUAAGUUCAAGGAUGGGAGUUUUGCUUGCCAGGUACUCGGAAGUGUGCAAGCCCGCCUUCCCCUUCUCCCUCCCCAAAGCAACAGCGACAGUAAACCCCGGAUGCCAAUAAACCUUAAAAAAAAGCAAUACUGUUUAAGAUCCGUCUCGAACACAGAAGCACAGCUACUGCAUACAGAACGCAGAACCACCCUUGUCUCCGUGCCCCCGUAAAACGUUUGUCUUUGUACAAGAACGGGAAAAGAGAAUGGUGCCCACAAUGUGCUCGUCUGGUUCACUGCUUCCUUGCCGUGGUUGACUCCUCAAGACCCUGCUGUUGGGGUAGGAAAUACCCCUCUCAAAGUUGCUAAACAACAGUCUUUAAUACCUAUACAGGUAAAGGUAUAGAGCACUUAAUUGCUGUGGUGCAUUCCUACAUUUGUAUCACGGCAUAUUUCUCCCUUCUCGAUUUCCGUCUGACACCCACGAGUGACUGGAGUGGAUGAAUGCAUGUGCAUCCUAGAAUAUGGCAACGUGCAUUAUUUCCUGAAAUAAUAAACAAUCAGUUUGUUCAAAUAAUCCGGCUUUUACUGUGUUUUGUGUGUGGAGGAGUGCUUACCUCACGUCUACUCAGGUUUCCCAUGCAUAAAAAUUCUGCAUUGCAAAUCAUCUAGGAGAGGGGUUGAAUAUCUAGAAAUAGACACGUACAGCGAUUUUAAAAGGAAAAAAAAGAUUUGUAGGAUAAGCUAUUAAAGAAAAAAUAUAGCGAAGGGGAAAAUAAAGGAAGAGAAGGAGAAAUGGUAUUGGAGAAGUUAGAAAGGAAAUACUCUAUCUUCUCACAGCGUCACUUGAUGAGACCAUAAAGAUGAGACCAUUCUGCAUUUUCUCUGGUUUUCAAUAUCCCCUACACAUACAGUAUUAGCAAGUUUCGACAGCUAUUGCCGGGGCUCGAGUUGGUUUCUCUCAAGUGAAGAAAUGCACCUUUAAGUGGGAAAUCUGCCAUUGGCUAACCACAGUCAGAGAUGUCUUCUGGGAUAAACAGCAUUGUUAAUUCCUUCAAGCUCCAUCUGUGGAAAUGAUAAAGUGCAGCCAUUAUGGAAGACUGCAAGGUUAAAUUAAUUAGGUUAUUCCAUUAUGCUGCAAUCUUCUGAAGAUGAUUGCUAUUUUCCUCUUAAAUGCCAUUAUUCCUAGAUCUAUCUAGCAGCUGAUGCAAUUAAAGUGAACAUAAUGUAAAUUUAACAACACAAAUAACACUUUCCUCCACGCAUGUUUGAAUGGGGCACGCAGGGGCUUUAUCACAAGCUUCCACUUCCUCCGUAAACAUCUGAUGUAACCUUAAAAAAAUUUCAAACAAACCAGUGUGUAUUUGGGUACUUUUCUUCGGCGAAUUCUUGGAUCAAUACUUUCGUUUCAUGUUUUCAUGUUCUCAGUAAUGUUAAGGGAUCCAGUUACAAACUCUUGCCAGUAAGAAAGAAAAUAUGUCCCGCUGUGCACCCUCCUAAACGCUCCUAAGAAAUAGUGUUUUCUUUUCAUUUGGAAUGACAAUUUUGUUUGUCUGCUCUGCCCCGGCGAGCGAGACUAUAGAUUAUUAGUAGACACAUUUAAUUCCGGACCAUGACGCAGGCGACUGCGCCCAGGGGCCGACACACGCCCUCCCGCCGUAGCAGAGCCGGGCGGGGGGCGACGGCACCAGGGAAGGCAUACGGGGUCGGAGCCCACCGGGGCCAGGGCGCUGCCUCCCGCCCUGCCUGCUUCCACCAGGAGUCCCGGCCGUGCCGCCAGCCCUGCCGCCCUGCCGCGCUCUCCCUUUUGCCACUAAAAACCCAGCACUGAGGUUUUACGGUUUUCGUGACGAAGGCCGACGGGAAUACGACGCAAGAGGAACAAACCGCGGCUCUGGAGGCCGGAGUUUGCGCGCCAAGAGCUUUCUGCAGCACGCAAAAAUGAAACGGGUUUGGCUGUGAAGUUUAUGUUUGAUUAAACGACGAAAGGCACUUCCUGGUCUGCUCCUUGGUUCCCGCUGUGCCGCUUGGGAGUAAAUCCAGAGUCCUUCUGGCGCAGAGCAUGUUCCAGGAUCAUUUCAGAGUGGAAGAAAAUCUAAACUUCACCAAUUUAAAAGAAUAAUAAAGAACAUGCCUGGUACCUUUCAUACAGGCAAAGUUUACAGAAAAAACACAGUUACAAAUAAUAGGUCCUAGAGUGUGGUGGUUUUUUUUUUUUUUUUUUCAUUUAAAGAACUUAAGUGAAAACUUGUUGUCUUUGCCAACAAGUAUUUGGCAAAGUGUUUAUUUUAGCACUUUAUGCCAGAUACCUCCUUGUGAGGUUUUGGUGAUGUUUUUCCUGAUCGCAUUUCUUUUUUCUUUAAUUUUGCUGUACUGCUGCAUUUAGAUUUUUAGCAUGGUGAGUCUCUAUUAGACCUGACAAAACAAUGCUGUGAUUGCCAAUUAAAUUCAACCUCUAUGUAAUUUUCAUUGAUUUCACACGCCUGUGAACCCCUGUGAUCUUUAUCUGUUUGAUUUUUCUUUCUAGCACUUUACAUCAAAUCAGGGGGACCAUUUGUGCUUCUAAUGGUACAGGCUCUUUAGUACACUGCUGUAUGUGUAUAAAGUCACUUGGCCUUCCAGAUAGAUGGGGAAGUAUUUGAGGGGGUGACGUGUUUUCCACAGUUUUCAAGUCAUCAAACAGAGAUGCUGUAGAGCUGUCUAAUAAAAAUUAUCAAUUCCUUCACACCAGUCACACAGGUACUGUGGCAGGACUAGGGACAGAUAAUUUCAGUACUUUGGAUGGUAUCUCUGUCUGAAGUAAUUUUGUUUUCAUUGCUUGUCUCUUUGAUCCUUUUUUUUCACCCAAAUGGUAUUUCAUCCAAAUUUCAUGAGAUUUUUUUUCAUGAAAAAUUCUUCAAAAAUUCCUAUCUUUGAAAGACCUUCAAGGGCAAACCUGUUCACCGAGAGCAAGAGUUGCAGUCAUCAUUUCCACAUGUUGAAAUCCAGCUGAUCGAGAUUUGGAAUAUAGAUAGCUUCAGCUCCUGAAGCUGCACAUUCAAGCCUUACUUUUGUCUGAAGUGAUUUUAUCCCUCUAUGUAAAACAUAAUGGCAGUGGAAGCUUGCUCUCUUUUGCCGUUUCUUAAAAGCCCAUUUUACCUUGCCUGGUUCACAAGCUAGAAUGAGAUGUGGGAUGCCUGAGAGUCACCAUUCUAAUUUAUUUCCUGUUUCUAGUGCUAAAAUACAUUGAGAGAGUACCCCAGCUCUUUCUCCAGAGUUGGUCUACAGAUGACCACAUCCUAAUUCCAACUACCAGUUAUUCUUCUGUCUUAAGCAGCAGCCUUAUCCUGAUAUUUUGCAGCUUUUGUAGAUUUGAGUUCAGAAGUUAUGAACCACUCCUUGCAUUUUGUGUGGUCUGUUUGGGGAAAGAGUGAGGAGAAAAUAUGUGUGUAAAUACAUAAAAUGGGAUGACUUUAUAGGCAUGAGUCAAGUCUGAUUGUAAUGUAAACACAACUGAUUAUUGUGUUGGUAGAUGUCUAUACCAAAGUGCAGUUGGAGUACAAUAGCCUAUAUGAUAUAUUCAGAAAGUAACUGAAUAUGUAAGAAAUCAAGAACAGACAAAACAAUUAUUUCCCUAUAAAUAAAAUUGUUCAUUCUCCAUACACGAUUCUUAAUUUUUUUCAAUGUGAAACAGUGCAUACUUGAAAAGCUGAUCUGAACAGAACCCCAUCCAUGUUUCCAGCAACAUUCCUAUGGAAACAAAAAGCAAAAAAGAGAAUAAAAGUUUGGCAUCUUGAGAUCUGGACUAUGGACAGAUGCACUGUCAUUAAUUUUUAAAAAUGAGAGCAAGGGACUAUGAGCACUAAGAUCAAAUUCUGAGAGUUUCUAUUACUGACUUUGGAGUGACAGCAAGUAAAAAACAUCUCUGAAGGUCAAUGUAAUUAGAUUUCUAAGUCAUCUGUAUUUUUUCUGAUGAAAUGAACAUUAAGCUGAUGUGUAUUGGAAGUAGUGAAAUUUAAAAGUUUUGGCUUCCUUGCUUACUUUGCAGCAGAAUUUCCUUGGUGACUUGCCCAUACAGGUCUCUGCAAAGCCAGUGUUUCUACUGAUCCAUUUUCUUUUGCUUUUUUUCUACCAUAGACAUAUGAAUGUAUAAAAUGGUGGCAUUCUGUAAGGAAGCAAUAACAGAAAGACAGUAGAGAGAUACUGAAACAGAAAAAGAAAGUAAAGAAAUAAAGGGGGUGGUGUUGUAAGAGGAAAGGCAGAGAUAAAUGUGUAUGGAUGUAAAUCUAUUUCCUUAGAAAGACACUUGAUGAAAACUAUAAAUUACAACAUACAUAACAGCAAAGCCUUUGCUAGAUGCAUCUGCAUCUCAUCCACCACAUGCUGAUCUGGUGUGUUGCACCUCUGUAGCAUUUAAUCGGAGCCAUGGAGGCAGGCAUGGAAAAGAGAAGACAGAUGCAGUAGCCAAAUUGAAACUACUGUGAAAGUAUGAACUCGAGGGAAGAUAGUAUUGCCAAAAACAGUAAUUGAUGUUUAUCUAUGGCAUCCGAAUGCCAAAAGCAGUGAGGGCUGCCCUGAACCUGCUGUAUCUUGGUCUUAGUAUUAGCAUGUAGGACUUGAAUUUCAUUCCAAACCCUGGUACUGUCAAUUAUGCCUGUGGACCAACCUUUGAGUCUGCUUACUUUAAAGAUACGUUUUUAGCUCCCCAAAAUUGUAACUAACUUCACUGAUGAGUAGUGUGAACACAGUGACACAGACUGUUAAAAACAGUCUCUUUAGUUUGUUAAUACAUAGUAUCAGUAAGAGUUGUGGAACCUAGAGUAUGAAUUAGACAAAACUACCAAAGACAGCAAGAUUUCUCUUAUGAGCCAUUGCAGAGUUCUUAAAAUGAUCAUGUAAUCAAAUAUUAAGUCCAAAAUCAGUUAGGCAGUCUUGGGAAACAUCAUCAUCAUGGCUAGGCUUUGUGAACGAAGAUUUAGGAAGGCUCUAUCCACGCUUGUUACAGAAACAUACUAUUACAGGUAAGUAAUAGAUCCUCAGCUGAUGUAAACAGAUGUGGUUCUACUGAUGUGCUUCUCACACAGCUAUGGGCUUAUCUCCAUAAUAAUCCACACACUGAUAAGUGCUUUUUCCUCCCACUGGCCAAAUGGCUCCCUAGAGUGUUGUCCAUCCUUUGGGGAGUUGAAAAAUACCAAGCUCAAAGUGUAUGUACUCUGAAUUGAAGAAAAUGCAGCUGUCAGCGUAUAUGAAAAUGUAUUACUAGAUCAAAAUAAAAAUAAUUAAGUUGUGUGUGUUA